CCCGGUGUGUGCCCGCGCCUGGCAGCGCCGGGGUGGGAGAGGGGCGAGGGUGGUCGCGCACGAGGUGCGGUGGGUGCCCGCUGCCCCGACGUGUCCCGGUGGGACCGGCCGUCUCUCUGACACCGUGGAGGUGACCGGAUGCCAUCACUGGAUCCAUAAUUCAAAGACUUGUGUAAAGAUGACAGGAACACUCACAGAGAGAAGAACAGACCCUGUGAAGGCACCUGAAAGUGAACUUUAAAGAUCAAGACUAGGUUUUCAGGAAAGUAAAACUGCUCAUCAUUC